AUUGAACGCUGGCGGAAUGCUUUACACAUGCAAGUCGAACGGCAGCACGGACUUCGGUCUGGUGGCGAGUGGCGAACGGGUGAGUAAUGUAUCGGAACGUGCCCAGUCGUGGGGGAUAACGUAGUGAAAAUUACGCUAAUACCGCAUACGAUCUAUGGAUGAAAGCGGGGGAUCGCAAGACCUCGCGCGAUUGGAGCGGCCGAUAUCAGAUUAGGUAGUUGGUGGGGUAAAGGCCCACCAAGCCAACGAUCUGUAGCUGGUCUGAGAGGACGACCAGCCACACUGGAACUGCGACACGGUCCAGACUCCUACGGGAGGCGGCAGUGGGGAAUUUUGGACAAUAGGCGAAAGCCUGAUCCAGCCAUUCCGCGUGCAGGGUGAAGGCCCUCGGGUUGUAAACUGCUUUUGUACAGAACGAAAAGGUUUCUACUAAUACUAGGAGCUCAUGACGGUACUGUAAGAAUAAGCACCGGCUAACUACAUGCCAGCAGCCGCAGUAA
rnacentral:rRNA from 1 species